AGGCCAUACCACGUUGAAACACCAGUCUUCGUACGAUCUAACGAAGUUAAGCAACGUCGAGCCAGAUCAGUACCUAGAUGGGUGACCACUUGAGAAUAUCUGGUGCUGUAA